AUGAGCAGGCAGUGUGUUUGGGGCUGGAGCCCUUGCAGUGAUUUUGUGAGUGUCUUUAUGAGGUGUGAUCAAAAGUACAGCGAAUGCUGGGGCCUGGUGCCAUCCGACAGAAAGGCAGCCCCUAAAACACAGUGCGUCCUCGUCUACCUCAUUCAGCAGACCUGGCACCGUGCGACUUCUGGCUCUUCCUCAAAGUCAAAACGACCACAGAAGGCAAGCGUUUUGAGUCCACGGAGGACAGCAAGGCAGCCAGGACAGCACAACUUGAACACACAGCAAAGAGGACUUCCGGAACUGCUACAGGAAGUGGUCUGGGACAGCUGCCCGGCCUGGGGCUCCUGGCUUCUGGGCAUCAGUGGAGGGAGAGGUGUCAUUGGCCACCUCCAGUGACACAGUGGGAGUGGAAGUGACUUGCAUUGCACCUGAGCCACAGGUAAGAGGCAGCUGUGUCUUCUCCAUCUUUUCUGGUUUCCUCAUUCUUCUUCCUCUCUCCUCUCCAACUCCUGCAUGGCUCGCCAGGCCCAAGCUGAUCUUGGAGCUGCAGAUCGGAGAUGGCAGGCAUGUCCCCGCAUGGCUGUGGGCAAUGGGGCUGACCACUAACCAGGAAAUUGGGCAAGGGAGAUGUCAGCUUCUGACAGAAGUCACUAAGGGUCAGACUUUAUGAAUCACUGCUGCUAGUACUACCCUCAUUCUCUUUCAAACCCUGCAGUGGGUGAAUUAUGCCCUUCUGCAGGAGAUAUGUCCCAGUCCUAACCCCUGGGACCUGUGGAUGUGGCCUUAUUUGAAAAUAGGGUCAUCACAGGCUGAAUUAAGUUAAGGAUCUUGAGAUGACAUCAUCCUGGAGUUAGAGUGAGCCCUAAACCCAAUGACAAGUGACCUUUUAAGAGACAGAAAAGACACACAGAGGCCCAGUGGAGGUGACAGAAGCCCCAAGUGGAGAUGGGCGAUGUGUCCUCAAGCCAAGGUUCCCAGCAGAAGCUUGGCCGGGUCGCUCUGGGAGGACCCAGCCCCGCUGCCAUCUUGAGCGUGGACCUCUGUCCUCCAGAACCGUGAGUGAGUGCAUUUCUGUUGUUUUAAGUCCCCGAGGAUGAGGUCAUUAGUACGGGCAUAGGAAGUGAGCACAGACCUCCCCGGGGUGAUGCUGCCCAGCCGUGGCCCCUGCUUUGCCCUUCGCCUCCUUCCUCCAACCUGUAACCAUGCUUCAGGGCCAACAUAGCUUGGGUUAGACUUGGGGGAGUCUCGGGCGGGUGGGUUGCAGGGGUGUCGAAAGGCAUUUGGAAAGCACCCGUGUGUAGCAGGCUGGGUGACGGAGGGGUGUGAGCUCGCACACAGCCAGUGGAGGAGAGAGGCACACUUAACAGCGGUCACCCGGACAGACGGUGGGCCCUGUGCUGGCUCCACGCUCCGGGCCGUACAUCAGCACAGUUAACCCUUCCUGAGACCCUGGCCAGGAGGCGCCCUGGUGAUCAGCAUUUCAGUUUUGUGGACGUGAAAACUGAUCAACAGAAAGGUUGGCUGACUUCCCGAUGUCCUGCAGCUGGGCAGGAGCAAUGCAGCCUGGCCUCACCUCCACACUUGUCACCAUAAUGCUCAUUCCCAUCCUGCCUGCUCUUCCUUCCUGUUCUCUGGCAGACCUGAUCUCUCUGCUUACCUGGUACGCGCUGCACUGGGUCAGGACGGAAGUUACGGACUGUUGUGGUUUAUGCCGUGUCCCCAGAGCCUCAUGUGCACACAGGUGGGGCUGAUGGAGGUGACUGCAUUAUGGGGCUUAGAGCUGACUGCCAUUAGGAGGAAGAGGCGGGGCACUGGGGGUGUGGCCCGGAAGCUUACAUCUCCUUCCCCAGCUCCUCUUCUCUCUCGCUGCUUCCUGGCCACCAUGAGCCGAGCAGCUCUCCCCCGCCAGACCCCUCCACCUUGCCUUCUGCCUCGGAGCCAGGCAACUAUGGAUGAAAAACCUGAGCCUGAAUAAAUCUCGCUUCCUUUGAAGUGCAGGUGUUGG
rnacentral:lncRNA from 1 species